rnacentral:rRNA from 1 species
UUGCCCUUAGUUGCUAACAGGUUAAGCUGAGCACCCUAAGGGAACUGUCGGCGAAAAGCCGGAGGAAGGUGGGGAUGACGUCAAGUCCUCAUGGCCCUUACGUCCCGGGCUACACACGUGCUACAAUGGUCGGUACAAAGGGUUGCCAACCCGCGAGGGGGAGCUAAUCCCAAAAACCCGAUCCCAGUUCGGAUUGCAGUCUGCAACUCGACUGCAUGAAGUUGGAAUCGCUAGUAAUCGCAGAUCAGCAUGCUGCGGUGAAUACGUUCCCGGGCCUU